CCGAGUUUACAACUCCCAAACCCCUGUGAACAUACCUAUCGUUGCUUCGGCGGAACGCCCCGGCGCACUCGCUGCCCGGGCCCAGGCGCCCGCCGGAGACCACACAAACUCUCUUGUCUUUUAUUACGUAUUCUGAGUGGCAUAAUGCAAAAAAUGAAUCA
rnacentral:misc_RNA from 1 species